rnacentral:rRNA from 1 species
CCUACGGGGGGCAGCAGCCGCGGUAAUACGUAGGUGGCGAGCGUUAUCCGGAAUGAUUGGGCGUAAAGGGUGCGCAGGCGGUCCUGCAAGUCUGGAGUGAAACGCAUGAGCUCAACUCAUGCAUGGCUUUGGAAACUGGAGGACUGGAGAGCAGGAGAGGGCGGUGGAACUCCAUGUGUAGCGGUAAAAUGCGUAGAUAUAUGGAAGAACACCAGUGGCAGAGGCGGCCGCCUGGCUUGUUGCUGACGCUGAGGCACGAAAGCGUGGGGAGGAAAUAGGCUUAGAAACUCUGGUGGUGCUAGAUG